rnacentral:lncRNA from 1 species
UGGUCAGGCCACCUAGGUCCUGGAGCCCACAGUGAGAAGCAUGGGCUUGACUCUGAGGGCAAAGGAGAGCCACGGAGAGUUUGGUGGUUGUUCCAGGGAUUAUAAUGUGCUUUUCCAUUUUUCCAACGAAUGAAGAACAAAGUGAUCGACUUCUUGCCUCUGCCGGGGCUCUGAAGCGCUGCCCCGAGGCGGUGGAUGGAGGGUGUCAGGCGUGACAUCAAGAGCUCUGCAGCCAGGGCCUGGGACAACCUCCCGCUCCACCUCCCCGGAGCCUCGCAGCCAGCAUCCCCAGCGGCCCGUGCGCCCCGGCCAGGCGGGACCUCAGCGCUGUGGCGGCCGCAGACCUCACCUGGGCAGGCCCCGGGCUGCAUGCGGACCGCCGGGCGCCCAGGACCCUAGAGGCAACCAGCGGGCUGGAUCCGCACAGCGGCCAUGGGGAAUGGAUGGUGUACAGGGGACAAAGCUACACACGUCUUUCAUUUUGGAGGGGGGAAAAAAGAAAAAACGGAAAUGAAAGAUAGAAAAUGUGUGGGCUCUCCGUCCUUUCCUUUGCUCCUGAGCGCUCUCUGGGGUGGGGGGCUCAGCGAGCUUCAAGAGGUGGCCGAGAU